UACAGAGGGUGCAAGCGUUGUUCGGAAUUACUGGGCGUAAAGCGCGUGUAGGCGGCGUCGUUAGUCGGAUGUGAAAGCCCUCGGCUCAACCGAGGAAGUGCAUCCGAUACUGCGAGGCUUGAGUGUUGGAGGGGGUGGCGGAAUUCCCGGUGUAGAGGUGAAAAUUCGUAGAUAUCGGGGAGGAACACCUGUGGCGAGGCGGCCACCUGGACAACACUGACGCUGAGACGCGAAAGCGUGGGGUAGCAAACAGG
rnacentral:rRNA from 1 species